UUAAAAGAGAAUAGAGAAGCUUUACAAAAACCUACCCCCUUUUCUCCUUAAAACCAGACCUGGUUUUAUAUAGUCCCCUUCCUUGAAUUUUCCUUUUUCACAAGAAAUAUGGAAGAAAAUCUCUUCAGAUGGAAGGAGAGGAUUGAUCCUCAAAUCAAUCCACAGCUCCCAUUUUCGGAGUUCAUUCUUCAGAAACUCCAAAAUAAAUCUGGUACAUAAGAGAUGCAACAAAAUGUCAGAGGCUGUUAGAAUAUUGCUGAGGUUGUGAGAUAAGGUGCACGUUAGUGAAUUUGAUCUCUCGCUCAAAAUUUCGCGAGUUUGGACGCAGCUUUGCAGUGAAGAAGAGAGUGGAC
rnacentral:lncRNA from 1 species